rnacentral:rRNA from 1 species
AGCGAACGCUGGCGGCAGGCCUAACACAUGCAAGUCGAACGAACUCUUCGGAGUUAGUGGCGGACGGGUGAGUAACACGUGGGAACGUGCCUUUAGGUUCGGAAUAACUCAGGGAAACUUGUGCUAAUACCGAAUGUGCCCUUCGGGGGAAAGAUUUAUCGCCUUUAGAGCGGCCCGCGUCUGCUUAGCUUGUUGGUGGGGUAAUGGCCCACCAAGGCGACGAUCAGUAGCAGGGCUGAGAGGAUGACCAGCCACAUUGGGACUGAGACACGGACCAAACUCCUACGGGAGGCAGCAGUGGGGAAUCUUGCGCAAGGGGCGAAAGCCUGACGCAGCCAUGCCGCGUGGAUGAUGAAGGUCUUAGGAUUGUAAAAUCCUUUCACCGGUGAAGAUAAUGACUGUAGCCGGAGAAGAAGCCCCGGCUAACUUCGUGCCAGCCGCCGCCGUAAGAC